rnacentral:rRNA from 1 species
ACGAAGGGGGCUAGCGUUGCUCGGAAUCACUGGGCGUAAAGCGCACGUAGGCGGAUUGCUAAGUCAGGGGUGAAAUCCUGGAGCUCAACUCCAGAACUGCCCUUGAUACUGGCGGUCUCGAGUCCGGGAGAGGUGAGUGGAACUGCGAGUGUAGAGGUGAAAUUCGUAGAUAUUCGGAAGAACACCAGUGGCGAAGGCGACUUACUGGACACAUAUUGACGCUGAGGUGCGAAAGCGUGGGGAGCAAACAGGA